GUGACCUGCCCAGAAUAAAGGGUGGCUCCUUGGCCAUUGUCGUGACUAAGAGGGACUUCUGUUCUCUUUGAUUUGAGAACUUCCCCCAGAGGUCAAGCUCCGUUUGGACUGCCUGAGCCUUGCUUCCCGAGGCUAGCAGGGAAAGGGGAAAUGGGUUCGAAAUGGGUUCGCAAUGCAAAACCUCGCUCACGCCCAAGUUUCAGUUCCGCAUCCGAAUGCGAAGCCAAACUGCCCCGCGCCAAACACCGAAGCUGGAGCGCCAGUGAGCAGCAGGGAAAGGAGAGCACAGGGCAAGGAGUGGCCUCCCCAGCGCUGGGCAGCUUCCGGCCGGAGUGCACUGCAGUUAUCCCAAGGAAAUCAGUCCCGGUCAGAGGACUGUUUUAAUUGGAAUUAAAUCUACCUAACAAAGUCGAAUUUUUCUCAGAAUGGUUGUCAUUCUCUACGUUGUUGCUCAAAUAGGGAGCAUAGAUAUUAGACAAAUAAGGGCAGAUAGAGGGAGGUUUUGGCUUUCCUGUGCAGGGAACGUGAAAUAGGAACAAGGAACUCUGCAUUAUUUUCCAGUGCUGCUUAGGAACAUUUUGCUAUAAAUACUAAUCGAAUCAGAGUCAUCUGAAAUCAAAGGAACAUUAUAAUUGGUAUUUGUGUAUGUGUUACCCCUCCGGCAAUUAAACAAUGCAGAAGUAAGUCGAUCAGAGACCAACUAUGCAUUAGCAGCUACAAGAAAACCUUGUUUUCCUC
rnacentral:lncRNA from 1 species